UACGGAGGGUGCAAGCGUUGUCCGGAUUUAUUGGGUUUAUAGGGUGCGUAGGUGGCUUUUUAAGUCAGUGGUGAAAGCCUGCAGCUUAACUGUAGGACUGCCAUUGAUACUGAGGAGCUUGAGUACUGAUGAGGUAGGCGGAAUUGAUAGUGUAGCGGUGAAAUGCAUAGAUAUUAUCAAGAACACCGAUUGCGAAGGCAGCUUACUAAGGAGUUACUGACACUGAGGCACGAAAGCGUGGGGAUCAAACAGG
rnacentral:rRNA from 1 species